CCGUACACAAAAAUGCACAUAUUGUGAGCUCGAUGAGUAGGGCGGGACACGUGGUAUCCUGUCUGAAUAUGGGGGGACCAUCCUCCAAGGCUAAAUACUCCUGACUGACCGAUAGUGAACCAGUACCGUGAGGGAAAGGCGAAAAGAACCCCGGCGAGGGGAGUGAAAAAGAACCUGAAACCGUGUACGUACAAGCAGUGGGAGCACGCUUAGGCGUGUGACUGCGUACCUUUUGUAUAAUGGGUCAGCGACUUAUAUUCUGUAGCAAGGUUAACCGAAUAGGGGAGCCGAAGGGAAACCGAGUCUUAACUGGGCGUUAAGUUGCAGGGUAUAGACCCGAAACCCGGUGAUCUAGCCAUGGGCAGGUUGAAGGUUGGGUAACACUAACUGGAGGACCGAACCGACUAAUGUUGAAAAAUUAGCGGAUGACUUGUGGCUGGGGGUGAAAGGCCAAUCAAACCGGGAGAUAGCUGGUUCUCCCCGAAAGCUAUUUAGGUAGCGCCUCGUGAACUCAUCUCCGGGGGUAGAGCACUGUUUCGGCAAGGGGGUCAUCCCGACUUACCAACCCGAUGCAAACUGCGAAUACCGGAGAAUGUUAUCACGGGAGACACACGGCGGGUGCUAACGUCCGUCGUGAAGAGGGAAACAACCCAGACCGCCAGCUAAGGUCCCAAAGUCAUGGUUAAGUGGGAAACGAUGUGGGAAGGCCCAGACAGCCAGGAUGUUGGCUUAGAAGCAGCCAUCAUUUAAAGAAAGCGUAAUAGCUCACUGGUCGAGUCGGCCUGCGCGGAAGAUGUAACGGGGCUAAACCAUGCACCGAAGCUGCGGCAGCGACGCUUAUGCGUUGUUGGGUA
rnacentral:rRNA from 1 species